AGAUUAAGUUAUUAAGGGCGCACGGUGGAUGCCUUGGCACUAGAAGCCGAUGAAGGACGUUACUAACGACGAUAUGCUUUGGGGAGCUGUAAGUAAGCUUUGAUCCAGAGAUUUCCGAAUGGGGAAACCCAGCAUGAGUUAUGUCAUGUUAUCGAUAUGUGAAUACAUAGCAUAUCAGAAGGCACACCCGGAGAACUGAAACAUCUUAGUACCCGGAGGAAGAGAAAGAAAAUUCGAUUCCCUUAGUAGCGGCGAGCGAAACGGGAAGAGCCCAAACCAACAAGCUUGCUUGUUGGGGUUGUAGGACACUCUAUACGGAGUUACAAAGGACGACAUUAGACGAAUCAUCUGGAAAGAUGAAUCAAAGAAGGUAAUAAUCCUGUAGUCGAAAAUGUUGUCUCUCUUGAGUGGAUCCUGAGUACGACGGAGCACGUGAAAUUCCGUCGGAAUCUGGGAGGACCAUCUCCUAAGGCUAAAUACUCUCUAGUGACCGAUAGUGAACCAGUACCGUGAGGGAAAGGUGAAAAGCACCCCGGAAGGGGAGUGAAAUAGAACCUGAAACCGUGUGCUUACAAGUAGUCAGAGCCCGUUAAUGGGUGAUGGCGUGCCUUUUGUAGAAUGAACCGGCGAGUUACGAUUUGAUGCAAGGUUAAGCAGUAAAUGUGGAGCCGUAGCGAAAGCGAGUCUGAAUAGGGCGUUUAGUAUUUGGUCGUAGACCCGAAACCAGGUGAUCUACCCUUGGUCAGGUUGAAGUUCAGGUAACACUGAAUGGAGGACCGAACCGACUUACGUUGAAAAGUGAGCGGAUGAACUGAGGGUAGCGGAGAAAUUCCAAUCGAACCUGGAGAUAGCUGGUUCUCUCCGAAAUAGCUUUAGGGCUAGCCUCAAGUGAUGAUUAUUGGAGGUAGAGCACUGUUUGGACGAGGGGCCCCUCUCGGGUUACCGAAUUCAGACAAACUCCGAAUGCCAAUUAAUUUAACUUGGGAGUCAGAACAUGGGUGAUAAGGUCCGUGUUCGAAAGGGAAACAGCCCAGACCACCAGCUAAGGUCCCAAAAUAUAUGUUAAGUGGAAAAGGAUGUGGCGUUGCCCAGACAACUAGGAUGUUGGCUUAGAAGCAGCCAUCAUUUAAAGAGUGCGUAAUAGCUCACUAGUCGAGUGACACUGCGCCGAAAAUGUACCGGGGCUAAACAUAUUACCGAAGCUGUGGAUUGUCCUUUGGACAAUGGUAGGAGAGCGUUCUAAGGGCGUUGAAGCAUGAUCGUAAGGACAUGUGGAGCGCUUAGAAGUGAGAAUGCCGGUGUGAGUAGCGAAAGACGGGUGAGAAUCCCGUCCACCGAUUGACUAAGGUUUCCAGAGGAAGGCUCGUCCGCUCUGGGUUAGUCGGGUCCUAAGCUGAGGCCGACAGGCGUAGGCGAUGGAUAACAGGUUGAUAUUCCUGUACCACCUAUAAUCGUUUUAAUCGAUGGGGGGACGCAGUAGGAUAGGCGAAGCGUGCGAUUGGAUUGCACGUCUAAGCAGUAAGGCUGAGUAUUAGGCAAAUCCGGUACUCGUUAAGGCUGAGCUGUGAUGGGGAGAAGACAUUGAGUCUUCGAGUCGUUGAUUUCACACUGCCGAGAAAAGCCUCUAGAUAGAAAAUAGGUGCCCGUACCGCAAACCGACACAGGUAGUCAAGAUGAGAAUUCUAAGGUGAGCGAGCGAACUCUCGUUAAGGAACUCGGCAAAAUGACCCCGUAACUUCGGGAGAAGGGGUGCUCUUUAGGGUUAACGCCCAGAAGAGCCGCAGUGAAUAGGCCCAAGCGACUGUUUAUCAAAAACACAGGUCUCUGCUAAACCGUAAGGUGAUGUAUAGGGGCUGACGCCUGCCCGGUGCUGGAAGGUUAAGAGGAGUGGUUAGCUUCUGCGAAGCUACGAAUCGAAGCCCCAGUAAACGGCGGCCGUAACUAUAACGG
rnacentral:rRNA from 1 species